AAGAAACAAAAACUUCAUCUUUCUAAACGCUUUUCUGUCGACAUCAUUGUUUCACCAUCUCUCGUUCUUCCAUUCUGUCAUAAACGGAGGCUACAUAGGGACUAUGAAAGAGAACUACUAGUUUGAAGUACGCGCAUGUUCAAGGUUGGUAAAGGUACUUGGCUACGAGUGAGGAGACGCUUAGAAUAACCACCUAGUCAAGAGACAAUUUCUAUUUCAGUUUAAGUUUAAGUUGGUUUUUGUUAUUCAUUUUAUGGGAAUUGGUUGUAGUUUUUAUGGGGCACCUUUUAGACCACUUAGUUAAUUUUGACUUUAAUGAUUUUAAAUUGUUUUGUUGCUUUGCAUUUAUUUUCUAUGGAGAAUAAAUGUAGCAGUGACACUCCCAAGGUUUGGACGAUUGUUUUAUGAUACAAAAACAGGGUUUUUGAUUAUAUAAAAGGUCCAAAUUUUGGGGGUGUUACACGCACCCUAGCUC